AUGCGAGCUGUUAAUUUUGUUCAGAGGCUACAGUGGGAUAUUAACGGCAAUGUCCUGACUCAUGGAAUUGUCAUCGGUGACGUUGACAAUGAUGGAGACAAUGAACUAGUAGUUGGAACUUCUGAGGGCGAGCUAUAUAUUUUUAAAGGAACCGAAAUCUGGCACAAGACAACUGGAUUAGGUUUAAUAUCAUGUGUUGCCAUCGGUGAUAUUUUUAAUUACGGGCGCAACGCACUUGUUGUAGUAUGUGGUGAUGGCUGGGUUCAUAUUUAUUACAGUCCACGUUCAGUUAAUCCUAGUACAAAUACUAUCAAUAAUUCACAAGUUAUUAAUAAAGAAUUUUUAGACAAAAUUGGCGGGAUUAAUUUUGAUCAUUUUUCAAACACCGUUGAAUCGGAUCAAUUAACAAGUAAAAUGGAGUGUGUCCAUUUACAAAGAAUUCCUACAAAUACAAAAUUUAUUCUUAUCGCAGAUGUUGACCGUGAUGGCGCUAAUGAAAUGAUUUUAGGAUUAACAGAUCGUGUUGUCAGAUCUUACAGAUGGUCUAGUAAUGCUGAUUUAGGUACUGGUAAACUUAUUGGAUUAAAUAAAUGGGAGUGUGCUAAUCAAAUUGGUACUGUAACACUUCAGCACAUGAGUGAUGGUACUCCAACAUUAUUGGUCGCUCAACCAGGUGGUACAUUUAUGCGAAUAAAAUGUAAUCGUGAUGACACUGAACUGAGAGAUGAUGAUUCAAAAAAUGAAGCUGCUGCCAGUUGCGUUGAUUAUCAGACAUUAGGAAUAUCACGAAUGCGCAAUCCAAAUAUAUCUACUGCAAUCAUAGGCAAUUUAGAGCCAGGUACUACUAAAUAUGUAGUCUCAGAUGAAUCCCCGCCAAAGUUUGUCCCAAAAGACACUAGUGUUAAGCAGACGUUUGAAAAUACAACGAAGGAGACGAAAAAAUUUAAAACAGGAUCUCUGGAAUUCCGACGUAACUACUCGCAGCUGGAUAUUAGGAAACGGAGUUUAGAUGAAAGUACAGACGUUAAAAGACAUGAUAUGAGUCCGAGUAUUCGUGGGCCCACGAGAGUCGACGAAGGAAAUCCAGGUGAAGUUGAUCAAGUUGAUGGUAAUGUACUAGGUGGAAAUAUUAUCAUGGGAGAGUUUCAAAGUAGUCGGCCAAAAAAAUCCAUUUUACCAACGUAUGAUGAUUUUUCACACUCUAAACACAGCAAUGAAACAACUAGAGUUGAUGUUGAUGCCAGUGUUAAUUUAAAUGACCAAGUUACUAAUAGUAAACCUUAUGCACUGGCCACUCUUGAUGGGACAAUUAUGCUAGUCAAAGAUGAAAUUAUUUUAUGGGCUAUGCAAGUAGAUCACUUGAUAUUUGCAUUGUCGCGUUUGGAUGUCACAGGCGAUGGCUCUGACAAAAUAGUCGUAUGUGCUUGGGAUGGGCACACUUAUUUUCUCGAUCAAGAAUGCAAUUCCGUACGUUUUCAAUUUGAAGAACCAGUAAGAGCUUUUUGCGCUGGGAAUUAUAGUUUGAGUGCUGGCACAUCAACUCCUAGUCUUGUUUACGCAACUUUUACUAACAAGAUUUUUUUAUAUUAUGACGUAGUGCUUCCAAGUAUGCUCGCAAAAGGCCUAGACCCACUUGAGUCAUUAACACCAGAGCAGAAAAAAUUUGUUGACAAUUUAAUCGGCGAUUGCAUAGCAGCCGAUAGAGAUAAAAAGAUGCAACAGCUUACAGAGUAUUUAUUAUAUGGAAUGAAGAUUGACGAUGAGUGAUUAUAAAUUAUAUGAUGAUAUUAAUUUUAAAUUGAUAUAAAAUUUUAUACAGAAAAUAUAAAAAUAAAUAUAUAUCUAUAUAAAUAAUGAUAUUAUUUAUUAUAAUAACGUUCGCUGAGAAAAAUGUUUACGAAAAAAAAAAAAAUUUUGAAAGUGUUGUAGAUUAGAAAGAUCUAUUCCUGUACCGAGUCACAAAAGAAAAACAAGAUCUAUAGAAAAAAAGAAAAAAAACGAUAAUAAUUCAAGAUUUGGUCGUUAAAUUUAUUAAAGUGUUUGAUCGUAAAUCCGGAAAUGAGUGAGAGUAUGUAUGAUAUACAUCGAACUUAUGUUGACGUCUGUCACUUAUCUAAAUGGACAGCCGUAGCUAAAUGAGGGACAAAAGAGUCCAUUAGAAUUUGAUGAUGGUGUCAAAUUGACUAGAUUAUUUAUCUAAUCCUCACAUCUAAAACUAAAUCCACGAGCAUUUGCAUUAAUAUUUAUGUUUAAAUCAUCGUAAUUUCAUCAUUGAUAUAUCAUUAAUCAUCACCUUGUUCUUAAGAUCAUUGGGUUGCAAAAAGAAAAAAA